GGCAUCACAGACAGUUGCCGAGUGAAGAUUUAACUGGAUGUUGGCAGCCUGGCACAGAAAUGCAGCGUUGCCCUGGGUUACAGCUACAGCCCAGCUCUGGCUGUUACCAGGAGCAGACCCUGGAUGCCUGCAGGCGAUUGGCCUGUGUGGCCAGCUGACAUCAUGCUGAGACUGCACCACAUCUGCCUCUGCACCUGAAGGUCCUGCCUAGAAUCCCUGGACAUAUACACAGAUAGUCCAGAAGAACCCAGCAGACAAGGGCAGAGAUUGGCUGCGUCCUGUCCCCAGGAGCUGGGAAGAUUCAAGUCUCAACGUCCAACAAGACAGAGUCCCCUGAAAGCAUCUGGGCACUGCCUGGACUGUGGCUAAGUCCCCACAAGGGUAAUAAUAAUAAUUUGUGAGUAAAUGCUGAAAUGCCUCUUUGUAAUUCUCUGCUGCCUUCUGCCAUAAGCAGAAAGAGCCUGAGCCCAGCUACUGGGCGAGCAGCAUAUUGACCGCAAGCAGCGUUUGACCGCGGGACCUUCUCUUGCAGUUCAAUCAAGGUUUAUCUGUUUUGCUGGUUAUUACUGGACCUGGAUAUUACCCACAGAAUGUUUCCAUGACCAUGUAAGAACCAAAACAUUCUUAAAAUUAGUGGUUGGGGGUGGUGAGAGCUCUGAAUAGCAAAAUCAAUAAACAAUAUUAAUUACGGAAAA